rnacentral:rRNA from 1 species
GAUGAACGCUGGCGGCGUGCCUAAUACAUGCAAGUCGAGCGAACAGACGAGGAGCUUGCUCCUCUGACGUUAGCGGCGGACGGGCGAGUAACACGUGGAUAACCUACCUAUAAGACUGGGAUAACUUCGGGAAACCGGAGCUAAUACCGGAUAACAUGUUGAACCGCAUGGUUCAACAGUGAAAGACGGUCUUGCUGUCGCUUAUAGGUGGAUCCGCGCCGCAUUAGCUAGUUGGUAAGGUAACGGCUUACCAAGGCAACGAUGCGUAGCCGACCUGAGAGGGUGAUCGGCCACACUGGAACUGAGACACGGCCCAGACUCCUACGGGAGGCAGCAGUAGGGAAUCUUCCGCAAUGGGCGAAAGCCUGACGGAGCAACGCCGCGUGAGUGAAGAAGGUCUUCGGAUCGUAAAACUCUGUUAUUAGGGAAGAACAAAUGUGUAAGUAACUAUGCACGUCUUGACGGUACCUAAUCAGAAAGCCACGGCUAACUACGUG